rnacentral:rRNA from 1 species
UUGGAGGGCAAGUCUGGUGCCAGCAGCCGCGGUAAUUCCAGCUCCAAUAGCGUAUAUUAAAGUUGUUGCAGUUAAAAAGCUCGUAGUUGAAUUUCGGGAUCGACGGGUCGGUCGCGCCUCUGGUGUGUACUGGCCCUGUCGGUUUCUCCCUUCUGACGAACCACGAUGUCAUUAAUUUGGUGUCGUGGGGAAUCAGGACUGUUACUUUGAAAAAAUUAGAGUGUUUAAAGCAAGCAUUCGCUUGAAUACAUUAGCAUGGAAUAAUGAAAUAGGACGUUUGAUCUUAUUUUGUUGGUUUCUAAGAUCGACGUAAUGAUUAAUAGGGAUAGUUGGGGGCAUUAGUAUUCAAUUGUCAGAGGUGAAAUUCUUGGAUUUAUUGAAGACUAACUACUGCGAAAGCAUUUGCCAAGGAUGUUUUCAUUAAUCAAGAACGAAAGUUAGGGGAUCGAAGACGAUCAGAUACCGUCGUAGUCUUAACCAUAAACUAUGCCGACUAGGGAUCGGAUGAUGUUAAUUUUUUAAUGACUCAUUCGGCACCUUACGGGAAAC